rnacentral:lncRNA from 1 species
AGUAUCAUUAAAGCUUGAAGUGUUGAAAUAAGUGGCCUGGGACUGGCUUCCACGGUGAUAAAAGAUUCAUCUGGUAGCACCAGAGUAAAAGAAGUCUCACUAAACACUGGCCGGGCAGCUGCUGCUCGGUGUGAGCAUCCCGGGGAUGCAAGCGUGGGGGAGACGGAUAAUGAAUCACCUACCAGUUGCAUCUGUGUCUGCUUUUUCAACUCCAGCUUACUCCUACUACUACUGCAACUAUUUGCCAGGCAUCCCUUUGUUUCCUGAGUCCUAGAAGCAGGUCCCCGACGAGGAACAACGAUGCCUGGACUCAGCUUCAGCCUCUGUUCUUCUACCGUUCAGAAGCCACCCUCCGGCAAGGUGACCCCGGCUGCUGGAUGGGGCAAGCCCAGGAAUUCUCGGCUUCUGACACAUGACGCAUUCAUCUUCUCCGACAGUGUUCCCAUGCACAACUUGUGGUUCGGGUUGGAAAUGCAAAGUGGAAAAAUGCAUAGCAGUAUCCCCUCCUCCAAGGCCUCAGUCUCUGUGCUCAUAUUCACUGAGACUAGUGACCCCCGACUUCCCACUCGCCGGCCCCUCCUCCUCCCCUUCCAACAUAAUAUGCUGUUUACUUAUUUAUUGUGUUCAUUUUCCGUCUCACCCAAAUCUAUUCUAGAAAAGGUUUUGUUUUGUUUUGUUAUUUUUCAGUGUUCUGUCCACUGUUGUACCCCCAGUACUUAGCUUCCCAUUUGCUACGCAGCAGACACUCAGUAGAUAUUGGUUGAGUGAAGAAAUGAUUGAGGACCAGUCAUCAUGCUUUUGUCCUAGCCUCACUGGGAACCAGCUAUACAGCUAUUGCCCUGUGUCUCAGUUUCCUUAUUGGGAAAUGGGGAUAAUAAUCUCUAAAGAAACAGAUGGAUGCAUAUAUGCAAACUAUUUAUAUGUUUGUAUAUUCCUAUCUGUAAAGUGUUUGUAUAUUCACAUAUGUAAAGUAAAAAAUGUAAAACGUUGGAUAAGUAUAAUGGAUGCACACUAUUUACAGUGCAUGGACACCUGUCAUGAUAAACAAACUGGAGAAGCAAUCACUAGCAAAUAGAUCAUAUCGAUAUGUGUGUGCCCCCAUGAAAACCUCCACAUUGUUGAAAGUGCUACCUGCUCUAAUCUCCUGUUUGUGAAGAUUAGCCCUAUUUCUCUAUCCAAAAAGAAGUUAUCUUGGGGGCCCAGCACCCCAAAAAAUUAGAUCUCAGGCCAUUGCACUAUGUCUAAGGGGUAUGUUGUAUAAGAUGUGCACGUAGUGGAAAUUGGACAAAGGGCACUAUAUAUAGAAUGUGAAAGUGGAGUUUUCAGGACCUGUGCUUUAAAUAUCAGGCAUGACAUCGUCACCAGCACCUCCAGGAGCGGAGCCGGAGGCAGGAUUCUCUGGGGAGUGCAUUUCCUCCAGUUCUGCUGAUGCAGGAGAGAAGGGUGAAUCAGCAGUAGGCGGCUGAAAGUUUUGAUAAUCACAAUUUGCUCUGGGUGAUCAAGUGGGGCCUGGAUGGAGGGAAACAAUUGGAUAUCUAACUAGGCUAAGCAAGAGGGCUCAGGGGACUGGCAGGAGAAGGAUACAGUGCUUUUACCUCCUGAUCAAGCUUUUCCCAUCUGGUCAUUUUAUUUGUCAAUUUUUCCCAUUUCAUUUACCAGGCUGUUCCCUGACUGUUACCUCCUCUGGCAAAUAGCUCAGCCAAUCAUUCUGCCUUGGGAAGGAUGUCUGGCUAAAGUGCCCAAUGUGGCCCCACCUAGGCCUUUUCCUAUGAGUACCCCUCUCUGUGGCCCAAGAUCCUCUCCAGCUCCCCCAUGAUAUUAGGUGUGGGAUCCACAACUUGCCUGCGGCAGAGAAACCCAGACACUCUCAUCCUGCCCUUUUCUUUCGUCAUGAAACAGGGUUGUGGGUUGGGUGGGAAAGGGGCUGAGGGGGUGAGUUUAGAGAGAGGAGGCUGGAAAUGAGAUUCCCAGCUCCAUCAUUAUUAGCAAUGUGACUUUGGGGAUAUUGCCACACCUCUCUGAGCCCCAUCUUCCUUCAUACCAAGAUGAUAAUCUCUCUCUCAUAGUCUCUGGUGAGAACCAGAGAGCAGGAGACACAAGUGCUGACCCAUAGUAGGUGAGGGGUACACAACUAUUGAGUAUACACAAUGGUCUCUCGAGAGCUGUCUCUACUGUUGAAUUUUUGAAUUCCUAAAACCAGAAGGGAAGAAAAACCAACAUUGAAUAAAAGUGCUAGACUGUAGUAGGUGCCUGUGUAUGUCAUCAUAUCACUCCCCGCCAACAGACUUAUAAACUGAAGAGUAGUAGUCCACUGCUCUGGUUUACAUAUGUCCCCCAAAAACCGUGUGUUGGAAACAUAAUCCUCAAGGCAACAGUGUUGAGAGGUGGAGCCUGAUAAGAAGUGAUUAGACCACAAGGGCUGUAUGGUUACGAAUGGAUUAAUACCAUUAUUACAGAAGUGGGAUCUUUAAAAAAUAAUGAGUUUGCCCCCCUUUUGUCUCUCUCUCACUCUCUCUUGCCAUUCUACUUUCUGCCAUGAUGAUACAUCAAGAAGGUCCUUGCCAGAUACCACCUCUUGAUCUUGGGCUUCUCAACCUCCAGAACUCUGAGCCAAUAAAUUUCUGUUCAUUAUAAAUCACCUAGUCUGUGGUACUCUAUUAAAGCAGCCCAAAAUAGAUGAGGAAACUGAAAAACUUAAUAGAUGAGGAAACUGAAUUACAGAAAGAAUUACUAACUUGUGCAAGGUUAGGCUGCUGAUAAAUCAGAGCUGGAGCUCCAUACUGGUUUUGAUUUCAAAGUCCAUCCCUUUCCCCAUCACUAGGCUGAAUCCCAGGAGACUGAAGGUUAACCAGAGAAAAUUCCAGACUGCAUGACUGGUAGAGUUUGCCCACAACCCCUAGGCAUGAGACACGUGGUUUGUAAAUCACAUUGCACUUGCCAGUAUGUCUGCUGCCACCACCUCACUGCACAAUAAUGAGAACCACCUGCUGCAAAACAAAGCAAGGAAAAGAAAAGAAAGCUUCACUGUGGUCUGGAAAUAGCUGCAAUUAACAGUAGCACUCUAGCCCAGCACAUAGGCAGAUCAUGAGGCAGCCACAAGGCAUAGCCCUCUGCAGCCAGGGCCUGGGCAGAAUAACCUAGUGGAGAGUGGUACCCAUGGACCUCCAGCCUUGGAUUUGAUAAAGAGAAAAAGAUGAGCUAAUAUUCAUUAAACUCCUAAUAUGUGUCCCUCAUGGUACUAUAUACCUCCCUAUACUGUACUUUAUUUGCUUCUGAAAAUAAUCUUGCAUAGUGUAUCUUACUCCCAUUCUACAAAUAAGAAAACUGAGGCUUAACAAAGUCACCCAUCUGGAGAGCAGAGUCACUAGCUAAGUAAAAGAAUUCAGCAGAAGUACUGAGAACUGACCAAAGGCAGAGUCCAGAGAAACAAAGGGAGGGAGAGAAGUUCCUACGCAUAUACUAGUUCUAUUUGCUGUAAAGUACUCCCUGUCUACCCAACCCCAUCCUAACCUAAAGAACUACUAUUCAACCUUUGAGAGUUAAGUAAGUCAUCACCUCUCAGAAGCCUUUCCCAACAUCCCCAGUUAGGUCUUGUAAUCUAAGGACCUGACAUAGUGCUUAGAAUACUAGCGCCUGCCUAAUAAGUGUUCAAUAUUUGUCGACAGAUAAAUAAGUGACUAAGCAAAAGUCUAGAGCUGUGUUGUGCAACAGAAUUCUUGCAAUAAUAGGGAUGUACUUUAAUCUGUGUUGUCCAGAGCAGCAGCCAGCAGCAACAUGUGGCUUUGGCUGUUGUAUAGGACAACACAUGUCUGGAUACCUGGUGCUUUCUGUGCUCCCGCCAUUGCUGCCAUCAGAAAACUCAUUAACCACGAAGGCUGUGGGGGCCAAUCAGGCCCAGCUGAUUCUGCACUUGAGUAAAUCCAGCCAUGCUCCUUGGAACGUGGCUAGCUCAUCCUGUAAUGCUUUUUGGGAACUUCUACUUUUGUUAGCUAUUUGUUCAAGAUAGCAAUUUAUAAGGAAAUAUGAGAAUUUGAUUCUCUGUGAGCACCAAAUCCUUCCAUGACAGUAAGAUAGGCAUCUUCAUCUCUUCAUAGGGUCAUUUUGGGUCCAUUUUACUUCUCAGCUCAGCACUGUGGGAAGCCGACCACAGAUGGACAAAGCUCAAGCAUUCACAGUCUCGAAAAAGGGAUUUAGGGUAGAGAUUAGGGCACAGAGAGGGCAACACCAAGGUUGAAGGCAUCUCCUUGGGAACACUUUAUUAUCUUCCGGGUUUCAAAUAUUAGGGCACUUCAAUAAGUAUUCCAGGAAUUGGUACUUUAGGAACAUAUCGAUACUCAUUUAGAUUGAUCUAUUCCUUCUUCCAGAGUACAUGACCUACCUUAAAGUUCAAUAAAGAGUAAAGAAUGGCAGGAGGUGAGGCAGGAGCUUUGACACUCGGUAGACAGCUUUCACACAGAGCUGUUAAGCCAACUCUGAAGGGAUAGCAAUCUACUUCCUGUCCUCCAGUGUGGUUGAAGAAGGAAAUCAGAGAGGGCUAGUGGCCCCUGGGUGAUGUGAGGUCCCUGGGUUUUAAGUAAUAGAAUCACUGCUCUUCCCAGCUGGACUGGGCUACCGUGACAGGCACUCGCUGGAGGCACCCUGUGUCUCAGCUCUGUUCUGACCUGAGAGCUCGCUCUUGGAGAAGGCUGUUGAGGCUCUCUUCAGGAUGUGAAGAAGGUGUAAUAGUGGCUUUCACCCAGCUUGGCGGCCCUGGUUCUAGAUGUUUGUGGUUUGCUUGGAUAUUAGGUGUAAGGGAGAUAGAGUGUGGGAGGCUGAGACAGCCCUGUGGGUGAUUCUGGGAUGCCAGGCAGAGCUGGGUCUCACUCUGUCUCUGAAUUCUGCCCCUAACUCCCCACAGUGGGGCCACAUACAUUUUCCAUCAUGGAGCACUCCUGUUCUCCCCACUUUCCUAUUCCAGGCCCCCUUUCCUCUUGAGAUGCAAAUACACUUUUCCUUUCCAGUCUGAGUAGUACAAGAUUCUCUAAAUUAGGGUGCUGACUCUAGGAAGAAAUGCUUAGUGAAUGAUGGCUCAUGGUUGCUAAGCAAAUCUGAGCUGCCUGACUUCUGCAUGGAGUUCUCAGGAUUCUCCAUGGAGUGACUAAGAACGGAACAAAUCAUUUGGCCCAGAGUAGUGGGUUUCUGUGCUAUUAGUCGAGGCAGCUUAGUGUAACAGAAAAAGCAGUUUUUUCUUUUACUGGUUGUCAGGAGUUCUCUAGAUCUGCCUCUGUCACUGCCUAACUCGAGAGCUAUGACCUCUCAGAGCCUCAGUUGCCUAAUCGAUGGAAAGAGGGCAUCGGAUCAGAUUUUAUGCUUGUUGAGCUGUAUUUCUCAGAGAACACGGUGGAAUGGUGGUAGGUGGGACACUGAAUCCCCACUUCUGCUUCCAGUGGAUUACUUAUGUGUUUAUCUCUUUUAUUGAUUUACAUCUCUGCAUAAGAUUUGGUUUGAAAAAAUAUUUGAUGGCUAAAAAUAAUCUGAAGUCCCUGGACUAGAUGAUCUCUAAGGUGCCCUUGUAGCUCUGUAAUUUUAAUGUAGCACCUGCUAAUUGGAUCUGAUCAUAAACCCAGGUCAGAGACUAACAGCUUGAGGUAAGAAGUCUUGAGGCUGUGUUUCAACUCAUUUUAGCAAUUUGCUCACUUCUAUACAUCUGACCCUUGGGGUUAAAUCUGUAGCUGUUUUUGUGUGUGAGCAUUUGUGUUUGUGAGUCCUCUAGAGCACUGGGAAAGUGUGCUGAAGAUGUCUUUCUCAUUUCAUUUUCCCUCUGAGGGGCCUGUAGGAUGGCACACAGGUCUGCAAGGGAGACUGAGCUUUCUACCUUUGCCUGGAGACUUCUGAUGCCUUUGCCCCAGGAGGGCUCACCACACGGGGAGUCAGGACAACCUUCACUUGCGGGUCAUGGGAGAUGUUGUACCUUAUUCUCCCUCUGAAAAAAUAAUAAUGACUCAUGAAGCACGGGCCAGGGUCAACCACAAAGAUAGAUUGAUCUAAUGACUUUUUCUCAAAUGCCUAUCGUAUGCUCUAACACUUCAAUUCACCUCUUCCUGUCACUCUACAAUUUGGGUUUGUGCUCUAGGAAUUACAAUAGGGAACCCACUCUUGGAGUGAGAGCUAAAGAACUCCUCUACCUCAAAGUGUCUUUUUUUUCUUUUAAGAUCAACUUUAUUGAGGUACAAUUUACAUAUGAUAAAGAGACAGUUAUAGAACUCCAGUGCAUAGUCUACAAAUUUUGAGAAAUAUGUUUUCAUGUGAAUACUCCCCAAUCAAGAUAAUGGAGCAUUUCCAUCACCCACUCCACCAUCAUGUCCACCACCAUGGCAUACAAUUGGUAGGCUAGUAUAGCAUGGUGGUGAGGAGUGAGUGGUUGGCUGAUGGAAAUACUCUGUGUUUUGAUUAGGUUUGGGUUACAUGGAAUUUACAUGCAUCAAAAUUCAUUCAACUGAGCACUUGAAAUGUGUGCAAUUUACAGUUGAAAUUGAGAAAGCUUAAGUAAAUGCCUUAAUACCACACAUUUAUUAAGUGACUGACCCCAAACCUGACCCAAGUACCAUUGAAUUUCAAUGCCAUCCUCAUCACUACCAUGUUACCCUGCCUCCCCUCAUGACUGUAUUCAUAGAUGGAGGUAGUGCAGGUUGGGAACUAGCACUCUGGCUUAACCUUUUCAUUGUAUAAAGAAGAAAACAAACUGUUAGAGGUAGGGCAAUUUAUGUAGCAGAUUGGUAGUGAAGCCCAGACCAGAUCCCAUAUUCAGGGUUUCUCAGUCUAGUGAGGGAGCUAAGAAUGGCAGUGUCCAUAUCAUUAUAUCAGUUAUGAGUUGUCAUAUCACAGAACUUGCUUGGACAUGAAGAGCUGUCAGUGCCCUAUUUGAUUACAGUGAUUAUUCCUAUGAAUAUGGAGUGCUUUACAGUCAUACUUCUCUCACAGAAGACACAUGGAAUCAGGUGGAGAUCUUGUUAAAGUACAGAUUCUGAUGAAGGAAGUCUUGGGAAUCUCAAAAACAUUUUGAAGAAUUCAAAACCAAAAUUAAGUACAUUAUAUUAAAAAAUUCCCAUAAGAUUUCCUCUCUUCCCGUGGGGGAAACACACACACACACACACACACACACACGCACACACACACACACACACACCAGCCUUGACCCCAGGUAUCAGUGAGCUUCUGAUAUCAGCCUUAACUUGAUCACCAAAGUCUUGACUAUAAGACAAAUUCCUGGACAUGGAUUGAUUGGUCAUACCCACAAACCACAACCGAAUGUUUUAUUGGCUUACAUUUUCCAGCUGAAAUUAGAUACCACAGGAUUGACUAUUUUGAUUGACUUUGCAUCUGGGUCAGUCAAAAUUGCGGGUCCCAGGGAAGGGCUAUGUUGCACUAAGAGAUUUUCAUUUUGUGCCGCCAGAACCACUUUUGGCGAGUGAUUGAUUGAUAGAUCCCAAUCCAAAUCUAAUUGCUCAUGCUUUCUGCCCAGAAGGAUUCGGGAUGUAUUGAUCUCUGUCCAAGCUCAUCUGGGGAGAACAAUGCUUCUAUAAUGGAGAGAGUGCCACUUGGGGUCCUUCAUUGUGCUGCUUUUGUUUCUCCUGCCAACUCAGACCAAGGCUUUAUCUGCAGAACUUUCGGCAGCUGGCAGGCAUGAUUCUCUGCCGGAGACAAAUUUGAUUCCCCAUUCUACUGCCUGUCCUUUUAUGGCAAAUUCAUUUAGGCACAUUACAGUCAUACAGAUGCAGACUGACCCGGUUAGCUCUACAUGCCUUGUGAAUCCAGUUAAUUGUAUAUCAACUAAUUGCAUAAUUCAUUUAUUAAUGGACUGAAUUAAAAUCCAAGUGUUGCAGCUCCUCUUCAGGAUUAGUGAGAAGAAAAGCCUUGGGAGAAUUUCAUUUUUCAGAUCCUUGAUCCUCCCCUCUCCAAAAUAUAUUCUCUCUCUCUUUUUCAUUUGGGAAAAGAACUAUUCCACAAAACAAUUAAGGAUAAGAUAAAAAAUAAAACAUAGUUACAUUACUAAAACUGCCGUUUUUUUUUCUUUGAGACAGUCUCACUCUGUCACCCAGGCUGGUGUGCAAUGGCACAACCUCGGCUCACUGCAACCUCUGCCUCCCAGGUUCAAGUGAUUCUCUGGCCUCAGCUUCCCCAGUAGCUGAGAUUACAGGCGUGAGCCACCAUGCCGGGCCCUAAAAAUGUUAAUUCUUUAUAUCCACCUGCAUAACAUUAGGAUACAAAUAUUAACAGAUUACAUUGGUGCCCCCCAAAACAAUAGUUUUGAGAACACAUAUUUUGAGUUUAGAAGAGGGUCCAGAUUUUCCUGUGUACCUCUAGGUGACUCCUCAUGGGAUGACUGUGCUUGCCAAGUGGUUGGGGUCACAUGAGCUUAACCCCUUAAAACCUGAAAAAGCUCACUCCAACCCAAUUUCAUUGCUUCCAUUCUGUCUUCACUGUGGGUCCAGAAAAAAAUGACCUCUGGUUCUAGAGAGAAAAUAUUCCCUCUCCAUUCCUUGUUUUACCUCCUUCUCCACCUCCCAGAGUCCUAAUUUUCUGCCUUAGGAUAAAGUCUCUUCCCUAAGAGAUUCUCAGUGUGCCACACAAAUUCCUUUUAGGGGAAGCACAGCCAUGCCUCCAGGAGUGUAUUCUGUCCCUAUAUCCAGAUGAAUAGUUAGAAAGUGAUCUUUCAGUGGAAUGUUUUCCAGUAUAUGGAUUGGUAAGUCCUGUAUAUUAUUAUCUUGUAUAUUAAUAAUUACAAUAAUAAUGCCUUACCUUUCUAUUGUUUUUAUAAUUUCCAAUGGACUUGUAUUUUCUGAGCCAAUUCUACCAACCUCCUGGGAGGGAGGCAUUAUUAGAUAUUACCAAGAAGAAGAUCAAAUACCUAAGAGGGUAAUUCAGUCCCUAAGGAGUGAAAAUAGCUAUUAAGAACUGAGGCUUCUCAAUCAGUUGACCUGAGUCCAAUUCUUGGCUCCUUCGUUCACACGCUGUGUGCCUGAGACAAUUUGCUGGACUUUUCUGAGAUUGUUUUCUCACAUAUGAAGUCAAAUUUGUAAUAGUCCCACUCCACUGGAGUGUCUUGAAGCUUAAAUGGAAUAAUGGAAGGAAAGACUAGUGACUGGCUCAUAGCAAGUGCUGAUAGACCGUGUUGUUACUAUUAACCGACUCAGUCAGAAUUGCCCAAAAUAGACAGAGCUUGAAGCCAGAUCUUGUGAUUGUAAGUCUUAUGUUCUUUCCCACCGUUUCAUAUUUUUGGUUAAAUUCUGCAAUUGACCCCAAAUCAUGCAUUUUGGUGUUAGAUUUGUGCUGAACUUUCUCUCAAUUCCUAUAAAAUAUGAUUCAAUCAUAGUGCAUGACUUGGGAGGAGGAAGUUUUCAAUGGUUGAAAAAUAGAAAUAAAAACAUUCAUAGAGCCAUAUAGCUGCAGCCUCCACGAGUUUAGUAGAACAAAUGCCAUGUACCCAAGACAAAACUAUCUCAAGCAGAAUAAAUUUGCCUUUUUAUGCUGAGAGGAAGCUGAAAUGAAGCUUUCAGGGUCUCGGUGUCACUGGCAUCAUCUUUAUGUUCUUAAAUGAGAACAGAGAAAGGAUUUGCUUUAUUACAGGAGAAAGGGCCAAAUGUGUUUGCUUUCAAGUACAGAAUAAAAUGAAAUGCAUAUUCUCAGGGAGGAACUUCAUUUUGAUUACCCGUCUGGAAAAGGAGAGCAGGAAACGGCCGCCCAUACCCAUCCUGGCCCCCCGUCUUCCUCUUUUUAUUUGUUAUUGAAGCAAAUGAGGCCAAUUGUUGGAAAUUUCUGUGCAGCCCUGAAUGCCUCAAUUGUGACUCUCACAGAGAUUAAUGCAUUUAAUUUACCUCUUUGGUAUAUUCGAGACACUAUUCAGCAGCCAAUUGGGAGUUCCUUGCCCUGUAAGCUGCUCCAUGAUGAGAUACACUCUGGCUGUCUCUACCUCACAUGCUGCAGAGGACUUCAGUUCAGCCCAGGGUGGAGGAGGGUGGCCCUGCAUUUCCAGGCUCCCUUCCCCUCCUCCACAGGUGGCCAUUAAUGAAGAAAAUUGGAAAGAGCUGAACUACAAGGACAGAUGAGCCAAAAGACCUGCAUGUACAAUCUUUCUGGGCAUUAUGGACUGUCUUCUCCCACAGUGUUCUCAUCAGUAAAUAAGUCACUUCUAUUUAAGUAAAAGUUCCCUAUGUAUGGGGCAAAUCAAGGGGACUAAGUAGUUUUCCUAUGGAUCAAGUAGUUUUUAACUUUUUGAUAUUAAGUAUUGACUUUGGCAUUAUUUCCAAGAGAGAUAACACUUUCUGUCCUUGUUUCUUUAUUCCCAAGUGUUUAAUGAGUAUCUACCUUAAGCCAGGGACAGCACUAGGUCUGAGGAUAGAGUAGGGACAAGAGACACGGGGUUCCUGCCCUCUGUGCCCUAGCCUGUUGGAUGGUACACAAACAAACACACACAAGUCUACCUCAUUACAGUUUUGAUAAAUGUCACGAGAGAAACACACAGAUGACCUAAUCUAGACUGGAGGAUUCCAGGGAAAUUCUCUUUGAGGAAAUAUGUUAUAAAAUAUAUUUUGAAUGAUGAUUGAGAGCCAAGAGAUAAGGAGCAUUUCAUGGUUGAGGGGAGAGUAGGAUAUAGGUGUCAUCGCUUUCAGCUUUCAGCUUGCUCCAUGGCAGCUGUCUCAUCAGGCUGGGGUUGGUCCUUUUGCUGCAUCUCUAAAAUCUAGGCACAUUAGGGCUAGCACCCAUGAAUUGCCACGGGGAAGCUAUUCUGGGAGGCCCUCUUUGAUCUUAUGGUCUCUAGGAGGCCCUCUUUGAUCUUAUGGUCUCUAGGAGGCCCUCUUUGAUCUUAUGGUUUCCAGUCUUAAGUGCAUUGCAUUGUCUUAAGAGCUCCGUGGGAAGAGAGAUAUUUUCCUAUUUAUUUUCAACAUUUCCUGGGUGUCUACCCUCAGUAUAUGGCUAUAACUUGCUUGAUCUACUCUCUCAAAAGGAUAGGAGAAUAGUAUAGCUACCCUUCGCUCUAUUCUUCCAACCCCACUAGGAGUAUUUUCAGAAGGAAAUAACACCCAAAGAUUUACCUUUAGAAAUUGAGAAAUGGAGCUUUAGCCCAAGACUUCCUCAGAUAACUUUAUGCAGUGUCAAAAUACAGAUAAAGUACCUAUACAUUUCCCUACUCAUACAUACAUUUCCCCUGAUACUCAGAAAAUAUCCUGAUGAGGCCACUUCAAAAGAUGAAACUCAGCACGAACAUAGUAGGUGAUCCCUGCAGAAGGUGAGCAAAUUUUCUAGGCCAAAGCAAGGUCUCAAAUCCAAUUUCUCACACACAUUAUAAUAUGGUGAGGAUUUCUCCCAUGGCUAGAAGCAAACACAGCUUUAAAAAUUCAAAUCCUGGAUAAUUCAUGCAGAAUUGGAAACUAACGUUUUUAAAAAUGUUAAAUGCAUGUUUCAAAGCCAACUUCAAGUAUAAAUUGAGUUCCUAACUUGCUGCAUGCUAUUGGGAGCUCGUUGUUUCUAUUGGGGCCUUAGUCCUUGAAGUUUCCAAUAUGGGACUACUGCCAUCAAAAUACUGUUUUCCCAAUUGUAACACAGAUGAAGGACUUCAGAAACACCAGAGGAGGGUACUGUCUGAAACAGUUUAUUGAUUAUUUGCAUCCCUUGUUAGGGAGAGUGGACCGAGGGUUGGGACACCUAGGCCUCCCUCAAAGCCCUUUAACAGCCUGACUGUAGGAACUGGAGGAAAGUGUGGCCCCUCCCUUGCCUCUGUGACUUUGUUGUCUAGCAGGAAUUGUAAGGAAUUGUAAUCGCGCUCUCUCCCUCCCUGCUUGCCCUAACCUGACUGCAGGGACUGCGAGCUCUAAGGAGGAGAAACAUCAUGGGGAGUGAUAUGUGAGCCUCGGAAGGCUUCAUCAUUCACUCUGAAAUGCUGGCACCGAGUCAAGUUAGUUCUUAUGUGACAUUAAAAACCUCACUUCAGUGAGGAAAACAAACAGAUAAAGAAUAGCAGCUAAUGACUUUGGAAGGCUAGAGAGCAUCUGAAGUAUUGUUUUUUUAAAUGCAAUAGAUUUUAAAAGGCAUUUCCAAUAAUGAAUAUGUCAUCCAAUUACUGCACUCUUCUCAUUCUGAACACCUGUCCCAGUGAUUCUCAAUCCCCAAAGUGACUUUUAUUUUUAACGAUAUUUAUUAUCAUGAGUGUUAUCACAUUAGAUGAAAUCAGCUGGAGAUAGAGGCUGCAUUCACUGAUGGCAUGGAGGCACCGUGCCCUGGGGAGGCUGUUUUUCAUCCUCCUUUGGAUACUGUAGCUGCUUUACACUGCUGUCUUUGACAGUCCCCAGUGGACACGGAGGACCAUCUCAUAACCACUCUUCAGGGUAAGAUCGCCCUAGGGUGCCCCAUGACUGUCAUCUCAAAGGAUCCCUAGUAUUUCACAAAGCACUUGCUUGGAGAAAAAUCUAAGAACAGCCUCACUUAGCGUCCAAAGACCAGGGCUUUGGGGAAUGGGACUAAGUAGCUAUGUCACCACCAUGUGGCAUUUCCCAUUUGCUUCUGAGGAACUGCUAGAGAAUUGUCAAGAAAGCAGAGAGGCAACAAGGGCAAUGGCUCAAAAAUGCCUUCAGUGCGUCCUUUUUGUUCUUCCGAUAGGGCCCAGAAAUCACGCAAAUGCUACUUACACAGUUCCUACAAUGUCCCUAGCAUUGGACCUGUCACCUAUCCUUACAAAGGAUCUAAUUGGGAAGCAAAACUAGCCCAUAUUAAACAGUAUUUCAUAAAAGAAAAUUCUUUAGUUAUUUAUUCAAUAAUCACUGAAGGCCUACUAUGCAUUUUACAUGAGAGACUUGAUAUACCAAGUUGAAUUAAGACAAAAUUCCUGUAUUUAAGACAGUUCUGAGUAGAAAGGCUUGAGUAAGUAAACAAAGUGGCUGGGAAGCUUGAACUGGGUGGAGCCCACCACAGCUCAAUGAGGCCUGCCUGCCUCUGUAGACUACACCUUUUGGGGCAGGGCAUAGCUGAACAAAAGGCAGCAGAAACUUCUGCAAACUUGAAGGACCCUGUCUGACAGCUCUGAAGAGAGCAGUGGUUCUCCCAGAAUGGUGUUUGAACCCUGAGAAUGGACAGACUGCCUCCUCAAGUGGGUCCCUGACCCCUGUGUAGCCUAACUCGGAGACACCUCCCAGUAGGGGCUGACUGACACCUCAUACAGCCGGGUGUCCCUCUGAGACAAAGCUUCCAGAGGAAGGAUCAGGCACCAAUAUUUGCUGUUCGGCAAUAUCUGCUGUUCUGCAGCCUCUGCUGGUGAUACCCAGGAAAACAGCGUCUGGAGUGGACCUCCAGCAAACUCCAAUGGACCUGCAGCUGAGAGACCUGACUGUGAGAAGGAAAACUAACAAAUAGAAAGGAAUAGCAUCAACAUCAACAAAAAGGACAUCCACACCAAAACCCCAUCUGUAGGUCACCAUCAUCAAAGACCAAAGGUAGAUAAAACCACAAAGAUGGGGAGAAACCAGAGCAGAAAAGCUGAAAAUUCUAAAAACCAGAGUGCCUCUUUUCCUCCAAAGGAUUGCAGCUCCUCACCAGCAAUGGUACAAAGCUUGUUGUA